rnacentral:rRNA from 1 species
GGGUUGUGAGGUUAAGCGACUAAGCGUACACGGUGGAUGCCCUGGCAGUCAGAGGCGAUGAAGGACGUGCUAAUCUGCGAAAAGCGUCGGUAAGGUGAUAUGAACCGUUAUAACCGGCGAUGUCCGAAUGGGGAAACCCAGUGCAAUUCGUUGCACUAUCGUUAACUGAAUACAUAGGUUAACGAGGCGAACCGGGGGAACUGAAACAUCUAAGUACCCCGAGGAAAAGAAAUCAACCGAGAUUCCCCCAGUAGCGGCGAGCGAACGGGGAGCAGCCCAGAGUCUGAAUCAGCUUGUGUGUUAGUGGAACGGUCUGGAAAGUCCGACGGUACAGGGUGAUAGUCCCGUACACCAAAAUGCACAGGCUGUGAACUCGAAGAGUAGGGCGGGACACGUGGUAUCCUGUCUGAAUAUGGGGGGACCAUCCUCCAAGGCUAAAUACUCCUGACUGACCGAUAGUGAACCAGUACCGUGAGGGAAAGGCGAAAAGAACCCCGGCGAGGGGAGUGAAAAAGAACCUGAAACCGUGUACGUACAAGCAGUGGGAGCACCUUCGGGUGUGACUGCGUACCUUUUGUAUAAUGGGUCAGCGACUUAUAUUCUGUAGCAAGGUUAACCGUAUAGGGGAGCCGCAGGGAAACCGAGUCUUAACUGGGCGUUAAGUUGCAGGGUAUAGACCCGAAACCCGGUGAUCUAGCCAUGGGCAGGUUGAAGGUUGGGUAACACUAACUGGAGGACCGAACCGACUAAUGUUGAAAAAUUAGCGGAUGACUUGUGGCUGGGGGUGAAAGGCCAAUCAAACCGGGAGAUAGCUGGUUCUCCCCGAAAGCUAUUUAGGUAGCGCCUCGUGAAUUCAUCUUCGGGGUAGAGCACUGUUUCGGCUAGGGGGUCAUCCCGACUUACCAACCCGAUGCAAACUACGAAUACCGAAGAAUGUUAUCACGGGAGACACACGGCGGGUGCUAACGUCCGUCGUGAAGAGGGAAACAACCCAGACCGCCAGCUAAGGUCCCAAAGUCAUGGUUAAGUGGGAAACGAUGUGGGAAGGCACAGACAGCCAGGAUGUUGGCUUAGAAGCAGCCAUCAUUUAAAGAAAGCGUAAUAGCUCACUGGUCGAGUCGGCCUGCGCGGAAGAUGUAACGGGGCUAAACCAUGCACCGAAGCUGCGGCAGCGACACUAUGUGUUGUUGGGUAGGGGAGCGUUCUGUAAGCCUGCGAAGGUGUGCUGUGAGGCAUGCUGGAGGUAUCAGAAGUGCGAAUGCUGACAUAAGUAACGAUAAAGCGGGUGAAAAGCCCGCUCGCCGGAAGACCAAGGGUUCCUGUCCAACGUUAAUCGGGGCAGGGUGAGUCGACCCCUAAGGCGAGGCCGAAAGGCGUAGUCGAUGGGAAACAGGUUAAUAUUCCUGUACUUGGUGUUACUGCGAAGGGGGGACGGAGAAGGCUAUGUUAGCCGGGCGACGGUUGUCCCGGUUUAAGCAUGUAGGCUGGUUGUCCAGGCAAAUCCGGAUAAUCAAGGCUGAGGUGUGAUGACGAGGCACUACGGUGCUGAAGUAACAAAUGCCCUGCUUCCAGGAAAAGCCUCUAAGCAUCAGGUAACAUCAAAUCGUACCCCAAACCGACACAGGUGGUCAGGUAGAGAAUACCAAGGCGCUUGAGAGAACUCGGGUGAAGGAACUAGGCAAAAUGGUGCCGUAACUUCGGGAGAAGGCACGCUGGUGUGUAGGUGAAGUCCCUGCGGAUGGAGCUGAGACCAGUCGAAGAUACCAGCUGGCUGCAACUGUUUAUUAAAAACACAGCACUGUGCAAACACGAAAGUGGACGUAUACGGUGUGACGCCUGCCCGGUGCCGGAAGGUUAAUUGAUGGGGUUAUCCGUAAGGAGAAGCUCUUGAUCGAAGCCCCGGUAAACGGCGGCCGUAACUAUAACGGUCCUAAGGUAGCGAAAUUCCUUGUCGGGUAAGUUCCGACCUGCACGAAUGGCGUAAUGAUGGCCAGGCUGUCUCCACCCGAGACUCAGUGAAAUUGAACUCGCUGUGAAGAUGCAGUGUACCCGCGGCAAGACGGAAAGACCCCGUGAACCUUUACUAUAGCUUGACACUGAACAUUGAGCCUUGAUGUGUAGGAUAGGUGGGAGGCUUUGAAGCGUGGACGCCAGUCUGCGUGGAGCCAACCUUGAAAUACCACCCUUUAAUGUUUGAUGUUCUAACGUUGGCCCCUUACCGGGGUUGCGGACAGUGUCUGGUGGGUAGUUUGACUGGGGCGGUCUCCUCCCAAAGCGUAACGGAGGAGCACGAAGGUUAGCUAAUCCUGGUCGGACAUCAGGAGGUUAGUGCAAUGGCAUAAGCUAGCUUGACUGCGAGCGUGACGGCGCGAGCAGGUGCGAAAGCAGGUCAUAGUGAUCCGGUGGUUCUGAAUGGAAGGGCCAUCGCUCAACGGAUAAAAGGUACUCCGGGGAUAACAGGCUGAUACCGCCCAAGAGUUCAUAUCGACGGCGGUGUUUGGCACCUCGAUGUCGGCUCAUCACAUCCUGGGGCUGAAGUAGGUCCCAAGGGUAUGGCUGUUCGCCAUUUAAAGUGGUACGCGAGCUGGGUUUAGAACGUCGUGAGACAGUUCGGUCCCUAUCUGCCGUGGGCGCUGGAGAAUUGAGGGGGGCUGCUCCUAGUACGAGAGGACCGGAGUGGACGCAUCACUGGUGUUCGGGUUGUCAUGCCAAUGGCACUGCCCGGUAGCUAAAUGCGGAAGAGAUAAGUGCUGAAAGCAUCUAAGCACGAAACUUGCCCCGAGAUGAGUUCUCCCUGAGACUUUAAGUCUCCUGAAGGAACGUUGAAGACGACGACGUUGAUAGGCCGGGUGUGUAAGCGCAGCGAUGCGUUGAGCUAACCGGUACUAAUGAACCGUGAGGCUUAACCUUACAACGCCGAAG